CCGCAAGGGGCGCUGCGCCUGCCCCCCAGAGCACAGCUUUCUGAGGUUCCAUCAGGGACUGAUGUGUGAUUCUUGUUCAGCUUGGCUCUCUCUCCUCUCAUCCUGUCCCGGAGUAAAGAACUUCCGCAGACUACUGCUCCCAGUUCUUUCUCUGAUGUGCUCUCCCAUGAGUUUUAUUCAUCUCAGCCUCCCUGUACUGCUGAAAACCAAGCAGAGCAGACAUCUGAGCAACCUCUUUGAACAUAAUAAAUUCACUUCCAAGACUAUCAAGAGAGGGCCUGAGGGAAAACAAAUUCUGCUGAAUUGCUGAAUCCUUAAGUCUGGAUUGUUACUUCAAAAAAUUUCCUAUUGAUAGAUAAGCAUUGCAGUGAAUACGGGGAGGGGGUGUUAAGGAUAUCCAGAAAUGGAUUAAAUGUGCAUGUGAGAGAGAA